CCUCAGUAAAUGGUCUAUAACUAUCAUAGAUGUAUUUUUUUUUCGUGGGUACCGGUAAUACCAUGGACAAAUUAAUAAAUGGACUGUGCCUUCUACACACCCCGUCUAUAUCUCUGUGGGACCAACAUUGUUAGAAAGAGAUCAAAGAAAUUAUACAUACAUAAGAAAAAGAUAGAGUAUAGUUUAAGAAAAUCAUAAAAGAAAAAAAAUGAGCUAUCAUGGAAUGAUACGCAACAUUUGGAAAUAUGAUAAUAUAAAAUAUUAAAGUAAUAUAAAUAUUAUAAUGUAAUAUAACUUAAAUAAUAUAAUAAUUUUCUUUGCAGGUUUUAAUAGUACCCUGAAGAACCAUUUUAAGUUAAAAAUUAAGUAUUUUUCAUAUGUGAUUUGUUCUUCUAUGACCGUCUUAAGUUGUAUGCCAUCUCUUUCUAACAAUAUUGGUACACGAACCUCUCUACGAUCAGUCCAUAUAUUAAUAUGUUUAUUGUCAAUACUCACCAGCCUACCCUCGAAACAAUUCAGUUAGAACUUUGUCGGGGGUAUAAAGAUGCUGACAUCAUUUAUUUAUAACAUAAAAACAGCAAUUAACAAAUAUACAAUUUUUAGAAACAAAUUUUUUACACUGGCUUUUUAGAUCAUAGACAUAUUAACUAGUUAAUACUUUCUAUGCCCUAUGGGCGUCGUGAAAGCAUUAGAAUAAUAGUAAUUUAGCC